rnacentral:rRNA from 1 species
AGCUCACGUAAGAGUUUGAUCCUGGCUCAGAUUGAACGCUGGCGGCAUGCCUUACACAUGCAAGUCGAACGGCAGCACGGGAGUAAUCCUGGUGGCGAGUGGCGAACGGGUGAGUAAUACAUCGGAACGUGUCCUGUAGUGGGGGAUAGCCCGGCGAAAGCCGGAUUAAUACCGCAUACGAUCUGUGGGUGAAAGCGGGGGCUCCUUCGGGACCUCGCGCUACAGGGGCGGCCGAUGGCAGAUUAGCUAGUUGGUGGGGUAAAGGCCUACCAAGGCGACGAUCUGUAGCUGGUCUGAGAGGACGACCAGCCACACUGGGACUGAGACACGGCCCAGACUCCUACGGGAGGCAGCAGUGGGGAAUUUUGGACAAUGGGGGAAACCCUGAUCCAGCAAUGCCGCGUGUGUGAAGAAGGCCUUCGGUUGUAAGCACUUUUGUCCGGAAAGAAAACCUACCUGGUUAAUACCUGGGGGGGAUGACGGUACCGGAAGAAUAAGCACCGGCUAACUACGU